UACAGAGGUCCCAAGCGUUGUUCGGAUUUACUGGGCGUAAAGAGUGCGUAGGUGGUGAGGAAAGUCUGAUGUGAAAUCUCCGGGCUCAACCCGGAAACUGCAUUGGAAACUGCCUUGCUAGAGGAUCGGAGGGGAAAUCGGAAUUCCCGGUGUAGCAGUGAAAUGCGUAGAUAUCGGGAGGAACACCAGUGGCGAAGGCGGAUUUCUGGACGAUACCUGACACUGAGGCACGAAAGCUGGGGGAGCAAAC
rnacentral:rRNA from 1 species